GCCGCGCUGGCCGGCGGGCUGCUGGUCGCGCUGCUGGCGCGGCCGGUCGCGAUGCUCGCCGCCCGGUCCAUCACCCGGCUGCGGCCC
rnacentral:tRNA from 1 species